AGAGGAACCUGUCCUGUAAUCGAUAACCCACGAGGAUUUAACCUAGCUUUGAUAUUUCAGCUUGUAUAUCGCUGUCGUAAGAUUAUUUUUUUAGAAAUUUUUCUUUAAUAAGGAUUUAUUAAUGACAAGUCAAGGUGCAGUAGAUGGUUAGGGUUGAGAUGGGUUACAAUUAGGGAAUUAAUUAUGGAUUAAUUUUUGUAAUGUAAUUAUGAAGGUGGAUUUAAUUGUAAUUUGGGAUUAAGGAUCCUAAAUGGAAAAGUACUAAUAUAUGC
rnacentral:rRNA from 1 species